CUCUUCAAGUGGCCUGGGAGCGCGCGCAUGCUCGCUGCUGGGAACCGGCCGGGGUGCCGGGUCGAACGACAGACGCGCGGUCCGGGCGUGCGCGGGCUCGGCGGAGGGCGGGAAGGCUGAAGGGCGGUGACAGGUCGCACUGCCUCGCGAGGGCCAGAACGCCCAUUUCUGCAGAGCUGCCUUAAUCCAUGUUCCCUUCGGGAUGCUGGUAUCCAACUGAGAAGUUUAUGGAGCACCUAUCAUGUGCCAGGCACUGUGCUAAGUGCUAGUGAGAAAUCGGUGAGCGAAACAGAAAAGAAAAAAAAAGAAGAAAAGACUGCCAGCAUUGAACUUAGUACCUAGCAAAGUAGAUGGACAUAAAUCAAAUUAUCAGACAAGUAAAUGAGGAGUUGCAGCUGUGAUAAGGGGUAUGAAGAAUAGGCGCUUCCAUGAUGGCGGAACAUGACCUAGUCUGGGGUGGAGAAGGGGAGAUGAUUCCAGCUGGAAUAUGGCAGGUGAGAGUUAACUGAUAGCACUGAGUUGGCAGAGGCAGGAUGACCUGCUCCAGGCAGGUGCCCCAGAAUGAGAGGACGUUGCUGCUGGUGGAACUCCAGCUUUAAAGCAGUGGAUCUAGGGCCACAUUCCUCAAGGCCAUAGCAAACAGGAAAGACCUUUUGGACUAGGGUCUUUGGAGUAGUCACAUGAGGCCAAGACCCCAAUAGGGCUGAAAGAGAAUCUCAUCAUAGGCUGAAUGGGAGCAGAGCAUUAGCUGCAACUCCAAUGUAUUAUAGUAAAAGGGGACACAUUGAUUAGAAUGAUUAUACCCCUCCAAGUGUAAGCUGUUGUUCAAUUUACCCAGGGCUUAAAAAUAUGUCAACUCUUCACAACCAUUUUUACUGCAAGCCACACUCAACCUGUGUUGUUCCCUGAACCUGUGAUGCACUUUCAUCUGUUCAUGUCUCUACACAUCCUUCCUGGGCCCCAUAGAGGCCCUGCACCUUAAGGUUUUCAGCUGGAUUCCUAUUAGCUAGUUAUUUUAUCUCAGGUACAGAGAGUUAACUUUGCUCCUCAAUUUUCAGCACAUUGUCUUAUCAGUUCCUACAAGGUCCUUGUUUAUAUUAUUUUUUCCUCAUCUUUCUCGAUCCCCACUCUCAUUCUUCUAGACACAAACUGCAAUAUGUUCGAUAGAGAUCCUUGAUAAUUUAAGACAGAUAAUGUUUUGUUUAUGCCUCUUGCAUUUACGGAGAUGUUAUUGGACUGUAAAUCUCUAUUUCCCACUGUUUUACUCAACACUCUGUUUUUGAGCUAUACCCACAUUGCUGUGUGUACACCUAGUUUGCUACCGAGUAUGCCAGAAAUUUUAUUCAUACAUAUCCCUACUGAUCGGGCAUCUAGGUUACUGCCAACUCCCUGAAGUCAUACUGUGGUGAAAACCCUUGUGAAUGUCUUUACAAACCUUUGCCAGAACUUAUUUUGUGCUCUUGUAGAACUUUGUGCGUACCCUCUGCUUCCUCAUUACACUGCUUGGCAUAUAGCAGGGACUCAACAAAUGUUGCAUACCUCUACUCUGAUGGUUAGUGUACUAGAAUAAUUUAUUUAUAUUUCUGUUUUCCUUAUUGGAUUAUUAGUACCUUCCAGACAGGGCAAAUGUCUUUUCUAUCUUUGUGUCCCUGGCACAUUAAAAGUGGUUGAUUUCAAGUUAUGUUCAAUGAAUGAAUAAAUACUUAUCUUCACUGCCAGUAC
rnacentral:antisense_RNA from 1 species